rnacentral:rRNA from 1 species
CAGCAGUGGGGAAUAUUGGGCAAUGGGCGCAAGCCUGACCCAGCAACGCCGCGUGAAGGAAGAAGGCUUUCGGGUUGUAAACUUCUUUUGUCAGGGACGAGAAGAAGACGGUACCUGACGAAUAAGCCACGGCUAACUACGUGCCAGCAGCCGCGGUAAUACGUAGGUGGCAAGCGUUGUCCGGAUUUACUGGGUGUAAAGGGCGUGUAGCCGGGUCGGCAAGUCAGAUGUGAAAUCCACGGGCUUAACUCGUGAACUGCAUUUGAAACUGUUGAUCUUGAGUAUCGGAGAGGCAAUCGGAAUUCCUAGUGUAGCGGUGAAAUGCGUAGAUAUUAGGAGGAACACCAGUGGCGAAGGCGGAUUGCUGGACGACAACUGACGGUGAGGCGCGAAAGCGUGGGGAGCAAACAGGAUUAGA